rnacentral:tRNA from 1 species
GGGGUCGUGGCUCAGUGACAGAGCUUCCACUUUGCAUGCAGAAGGUCCCAGGUUUGAUUCUUGGGGUCUCCU